GGGGUUGCACCAGAUGAAUAUACAUAUAGCUUGCUUAUUGAUGCUUAUGGAAAUGCAGGUAGGUGGGAAAGUGCGAGAAUUGUGUUGAAAGAAAUGGAAGCUAAUAAUGUUCAGCCUAAUCCAUUUGUGUUUAGUAGGAUCUUAGCUAGUUAUCGUGAUAGGGGAGAGUGGCAGAGAUCAUUUUAGGUUCUUAAAGAAAUGAAGAAUAGUGGGGUGAAUCCCGAUAGACAGUUUUAUAACAUAAUGAUUGAUACUUUUGGGAAGUACAAUUGUUUAGAUCAUGCAAUGUCUACAUUUGAAAGGAUGAAGUUAGAGGACAUUGAACCGAAUACUGUUACAUGGACCACACUUAUAGAUUGCCAUAGUAAGCAUGGCCAUCACAGUAAGGCAGAUGAGCUGUUUGAGGCGAUGAAGGCAAGUGGAUAUUCUCCGUGCACCACCAUAUACAAUAUAAUGAUUAAUUCCUUUGGUGAGUAGGAGAAAUGGGAGAAAGUGAAGGGCCUGUUGAGUAAAAUGCAGAGUCAGGGCCUACUGCCCAAUGUUGUUACAUACACAACUCUAAUUAAUAUUUAUGGACAGUCAGGAAGGUUCAAUGAUGCUAUUGAGUGCUUGGAGGUGAUGACAUCUGCAGGGUUGAAGCCAUCCUCAACAAUGUAUAAUGCCUUGAUCAAUGCCUAUGCACAGAGGGGAUUGUCUGAACAAGCAGUAAAUGCCUUUAGGAUCAUGAAGGGAGAUGGUCUAAAGCCUAGCUUGUUAGCUCUCAACUCACUAAUUAAUGCAUUUGGUGAGGAUCGGAGAGAUGCUAAAGCUUUUGCUAUACUGAAGUAUAUGAAAGAAAAUGAUAUAAAGCCAGAUGUUGUUACUUACACCACUCUCAUGAAAACCUUGUUAUGUGGGGAGAAAUUUGAAAGGGUUCCAGCUGUUUAUAAAGAAAUGCUAGUAUCUGGAUGCAUCCCAGAUAGAAAAGCUAGAGCAAUGCUAUGAUCUACUUUGAGAUACAUGAAGUCUACUUUGAAAUUGUAGCAAACUGCAGUCACUCUAACAAAAACGAUGUUGAUGAAUCAUGAUUUUUUAGUGUAAUUUCAUUAUAAGCUAUGGUUCACAUAUGUUCAUUAACCUAUGUCCCAGUUCAAGAUUUUUAUCUUUGACAGCUAAACUGGGAGAAUUGGAAUUUAGAAAUUCAAGGUUUACAAAGAAUCCAAGAUAUUAGGCAUCCGAAAGAGUAAGUUAGAUUAGCUUGGCAUUGGAAUUAGUUUGGCGAAGGAAAAUUGUGGUAUGUAAAGCUAUCUUACUUUUUGGCAUGUCUUAGAAACAUAUAGGUUAUGAUAUGAACUCUAUUCCCGUAAUUCGAGCUAGUAUACGAUCUAUAUUUAUUCCUUGGUACUCUUACGUUAACCUUGUCAUAAGAUUGACUCUUAUAUUUUUUUAAAAUUUUGUAAAUUGUAAGAUUAUGGGAAAUUUAAUAAACUUUGAAGGAAUUUAUUCUUUAUUGAUUUUAAAUUUCAAAUGUCCGUAAUUUUUGAUAAAAUGCUCGGAUUGCGUCGAAAACCAUUUUGGAAUUUCUUGUGGGAAUUUGUAUGACUUAAGAUAAGUAUGUAAAGCUUUCUAUUUCUUGGCAUGAUUGAAUUCGAAACCGAACAUAUAAUGAGUCUUAAGAAUCCUAAUUCCUUGGAUUUUAGCAAAUAUGCUUUAUGUUCAUUCUUGGCCUUCCCUAUGAAUAAAGAGCUUCCUACUUAAUGUGGUACCUUUAAAAUUACAUAAUUGGUAUGAGUUUGGGAAGAAACAAAUUAGUUGAGAACUAAAGGUUCUAAUAGAUCCAAAAUGCUAAUACUUAUAAGUUUAGAAAGAAAAGUCCAAAGUACAUUAAAGAUCAUUUAAGGCUCUUCUUAGUAAUUUUGAAAACAUAAGUAAGAUGUGAUCUUAAAGUUGUAAGAUGAGAAAGUUUGAUACUUAAAGUUUGUAAGUUGAAAUGUUGAUACUCAAAGUUUGUAAAUGGUGGAAGUUUGAUAAAUUUGAAACAAUAUAUGUCCUAAGACUUCGAAAAAUAUAAAGAAUUAUGAUUCCUGCCAAAAAGCUAUUUUGAGACGUUUCCUAGUAAUUUAUAAGCUCUAGACCGAGUAUGUUCCUCUAAAAUCAAGUUAGUCCUGUUUCCAUCGGCAGUGGGACCCACGACACCUUCUGCCUGAAAUAUUGACAAUUCUAAACGAAUUUAGGACAAACUAUAUAUAAUUUUUGGAUAUGAACAAUCUACUACUAUUUUGGAUUUUCAAUAAUAAUAUGUUAAAUUCGAUCAUGAAUGUGUUUCUAUUCUUUUGGAAUGUUUGAUAAAUAAUAUUUUGGUUCCAAAAAUAAAUAUUUACCAUAUUAUUGGAUUAUGGAAAUGAUUUUUUGUGUAUAUUAUCCUCACGACUCUACUCAUGCCUAUUAUGACCUCGUUCACCGGUUCUCGGGCUGGUUACUGUAUAUAUAUAUAUAUUUAUCCUGAAGAAGGCUGGAUAUGGCGGGUUGGUUUGCCCAUGGACCAACUUUGCUUAGUUUGGAGCCAUAAGGAGCUGGGCUUGGGAUAUGUUGGCAUUGUGAGUGUGAAUGCUGGGCCUCGUUCGCCCUAGUUCAUGUGAGUGCUGGGCCUCGCUCGCCUCAGUUCACUUAUUGGCAUGUCUUUAUUAUACCAUGAUCAUGAGUUCUGGGCCUCACUCGCCUCGACUCACCUAUCCUAUGACGUGAGUGCUGGGCCUCGCUUACCUCGGCUCACCUAUACUACAUUUGGGACUUGUGUUGGAGACUUUGAAUAUUUGAACUUUCUGGUGUGAGGCGGUAGUAUGGCGCGAGUUGGAGAUCGCCAUCAUUCCUGUACGCUAUGCAUCAGUUUGAGAUUUUGGACAGAGAAAUAUUUUCUGAUGUUUGCAUAUACGUUUAACUCCUAUACCUCUAUUGAUCUAUCACUUUUAUUUAUAGUUGUGACUAGUGAGUGCAGCGGUCUUCCCUGGCUCACCUACUCUAUAUUGGUAUUACGUGAUAGUGAUUUUGGAAAUUUGAAACCUUCUGAUGUUAUGCGUGCUUCAUAUGUUGAAAAUAAACAUAUUAGAUGUGUUUGGAUAUGCACUUAAUCCCCGUACUUUUGUUUCAGUUGUCCCUCAGUUUCAUGUAUUGGGAAGUAAGUAUGUAAUAUUUUGGAUAUGCAUUUACAGUUAUACUUUGGCCUACUUAUAUUUUGGGUAUGCGCUUAACCAUUGUACUUUUGUUUUAAUGGUUGCCCUAUUAUAGACACUCUGUACUUUUUGCUUUACAUAUUCGGUACGUAUUUUGAACUGACCCCUCUCUUUAGGGGGCUGCAUUUCAUGUCUGCAGGUACAGACGCAAAGAGUAGCGGGCCACCAGCUUAGGAUCCCUCUCUAUCUUUUGAAGAGUUCCUUUGCUUUGGAGCAACUGUUUGGUGUAUAUGCUUACAUCUUUAUUUUGUACUAUGUUCCUCUGAGGGUACGAUGGGGCCCUGUCCCGUCUUUUGGAUUCAGUCUAUUUGUAUAGAGGUCUAUGGACUCUUGUGAGUGUGGGACAUGUCAGUUCGUAUAGUAUGUACGUAUGUUAUAUAUGUUGGGCGGUUUAACCGCAGUAGUGACCUUGUUGGCCCACAUGUAUAUGUAUAUAUGCUUGUAUUGUAUGCUGGGAUUUUCUGUACGCAGGUGGGUUAUCAGUAAUACAGAGGAAACUCUGCCAAAAUUUCUAUAAAUGAGUUAGUUAAUAUAAUUAGAUUUUGGCUUAGCAAGUUGUGUCUGAGUACCCCAAUCGGGUACUAGUCACGGCCCAUAGGUUGGGUCGUGACAGAAGUGGUAUCAGAGUAGUUAGUCCUCAAAGUGUCUAUAGAUCGUGUCUAGUAGAGUCUUAUUUAUCGGUGUGUCAUGCACCAUAUCUAUAAACAAAAGGCUACAGGACAUCUAGUAUGUUACUCUUCCUUUUGAUCCUAGAUCGUACGUUAAGAGCGGUUUUAGUAGGAUAAUCCCCUCCCCUUAUUUAUUUCUUGUAUCUACAGGUAAUCUGAUUCCCUUGGUUAACUGUGAUGGGCGUUAAUUAAAUAAAUGUGUGAUAACUAAGCUAUUAAUUGUUAGAUGGGGUUUUAUGAAAGUUGGCACUUAUAAGGUUAAUAUGACAUUCGAGGACGAAUGUUCUUAAGGGGGGGAGGAUGUUAGAACCCGUAUUGUGGUGUAUUGGAACCAUUAUGAAAUUUGGGACUUAUAUGACAUUAUUAAAAAUUUUGGGGCCAAAGUGGAGAUUUUUCAAUAUGGUUUUCUUGAAGACAAGGGUGUGGUGUCCCACUUGACCCUUGUUGAAUUAUACUUGGGCCAAGUGUGAUAACACUUGGCCAACUUAUAUGGUGCAAAUAUAUAUAUAAGCAUAUCCUUCUCCUUCAAAAAACAUUUUCUUCACUUAGCAAGUUUCCAAGAACAAAAAAAAAAAUCCCAAGCUGUAGAACCCUCUCGGGAUGCUACAGUGAUUUUAAAAAAAUUUGUGAUUUUCGAUCUUUCAAUUAUUUUGAUGCUAUAAGCCUAGUAUAUUGGGUCCCCCAAGUAGCGUGGAAGCGUUGGUUGGUCUAGAAAACACGUUGUCUUACGGAUUGGGCGAUUUGAAUUUCUUAAAAGGGUUAUAAUGUAUGUUGAUUUUUAUCUUGUUUAAGUUAAAAUUAAAGCUUGUAUGUGUGUUGCUAUAUGUUAAAUUAAAAGAAAACCAUGAAGUCUUGCUUGUAAAACAUGAAUUUCGAGAUUGGGGAAGUUGGGUUCGAAAUUGGGGAUGAGUAUGUAUAUGAAGUUAUAUUAUCUAAAAAUCAUGUGAUUGUGUUUAGUUGGUAUAAAAAUGAUCUUUAUGGGGUGAAAGAUGUAUUGGAAAUUAUUUGUAUGUAUACAUGAGAGUUGGUUUGAAUUGGGGUCGGACCAGAUGAACAUACAUACAGCUUGCUUAUUGAUGCUUAUGGAAAUGCAGAUAGGUGGGAAAGUGCGAGAAUUGUGUUGAAAGAAAUAGAGGCUAAUAAUAUUCAGCCUAAUUCAUUUGUGUUUAGUAGGAUCUUAGCUAGUUAUCGUGAUAGGGGAGAGUGGCAGAGAUCAUUUCAGGUUCUUAAAGAAAUGAAGAAUAGUGGG
rnacentral:lncRNA from 1 species